rnacentral:tRNA from 1 species
UCCCUUGUAGCUCAGUCGGUAAAGAAUCUGCCUGCAAUGCAGGAGACCCGGGUUCGAUCCCUGGAGAAGGAA